UCACUACGCCGGAAGUGUUUGUUGGAAAGAUUAAAAUCCUCUUGAGUGACAGCAGCGGUUUGGUACAUUGUAUUUUUUUCUUUCUGUAGGGAUGGAGGUGACACGAACAAAUUUCAAAGACAGUUUAAGCACUGUGUACAGCGCAAUAGAGGAAGCAGACUUUCUCGCAAUCGAUGGGGAAUUUUCAGGUAUUAGCGAUGGGCCCAACGUCAGCGCACUGACUAACGGGUUGGACACGCCAGAGGAGCGCUACAUGAAACUAAAAAAG